UAUCUUUGAUGCAAAAAGUAUCAAUGUCAAACAUUUUUUUUUAAAUGAAUAUAAUAUAUUAGGUACAAUAAUUAUAGGUUUUUGGAAAUUUUUAAUGCCUUCAUUUUUUUUAAAAAUUACAAUUGUUGAUAAAGGAUAACUUAAAAAUUUAAUUUCUCAAUAUUUUCUUUUUUUUGACAUUGGCUCUUUUUACACCAACCCACAGUUAUUAUAUACAGGCAAUUGCAAAUUCCACCAAUUUAUAGGUAAUCGAUAUUAGGAUUGGAUUAAUAACAUGUAAAUUCCACCAGUACUUUUUACUAUCUGCCAAAAAAAUGUCAAUUCCACUGGUUAGGAAAAUAUUGGCGCCUCUCCCAAUAAAUUAUGACCAUUUCAUUAAAUCAAGAGCCUAAAAUUUUGAAUUCUGGUGUAGAAAAGUGGCAUUGUGAAAACAAAAAGUGUUCCGUCGUUUUAAAAACUAUUAAUUCUGGAAAUAAUCAAAUUAUAACUUUCCAACAAACACUGCAUAAUCAUAAUGCAUUAACCAAAAAUACACUUCAUUCGAUGCAAAAUUAAAGACAACAGAGCAUAAUUGUAAAGCACCACUUUUUCCUAACUGGAGGAAUGUACAUUUAUUUUUAGGUAGUAAAAAGUACUGGUGGAAUUUAUAUAAAAAAG